rnacentral:sRNA from 1 species
CUGCAGGCUGUUACACCAAAAUCUCAGAAGUUAUUCAAAAGAACAAAAUCUAUGCAGAAGUCACACAUUAUAUCCUUAUAUUCCUGCAGAUGAUUGAAGUUGUUCUGGCCAUUGUGUUAUACUUACGCAAAGAACAGAAACCGGCCCGAGAAGCGUUGUCACUUAGAAAGAUAACCAAAAAGCAGAUAAAGACAUCUCACAAAAGUCAAAAAAGCAUUCCAGAAGUAGUCGCGCCGAAUAAUAGUUUAAACGACCUCACAGCAACCCCGUCUUUUGACGAUGUGUUGACGAGUAUUUAGAAAUUUAACAAAA